CUGCAGCCCGUGUGGUGAUCGAUUUUAUUGAGCCUAAAGCGUCCGUAGCCGGACUAGUAAACCCUUGGGUAAAUUGGGCAGCUUAACUGUCCAAAUUCCGAGGGGACUGCUAGUCUUGGGACCGGGAGAGGUCAGAGGUACUCCAGGGGUAGGGGCUAAAUCCUGUAAUCCUUGGGGGACCACCAGUGGCGAAGGCGUCUGACUAGAACGGAUCCGACGGUAAGGGACGAAACCCUGGGGCGCGAACCGGAUUAGAUACCCGGUAGUCC
rnacentral:rRNA from 1 species